rnacentral:lncRNA from 1 species
CAUCAUCAUCAUCAUCAUCAUCAUCAUCAUCAUCAUCAUCAUCGUACCCUUCUUUAAAUCAAGGAAAUUUAAGCUGCGAGCCUCCGAGAAUUACUUCUUGUAUACCGGACGAGCAAAAGAAACGAGAGAUUGGGACAAAAGAGUUGGCGGACAUCCUCUCUCUCUCUCUCUCUCACUCUCUCUGGUUCUGCAACACAGAGGGCCAACCGAGGAGCAGCAGCGAGAGCGCGAGUUUCAUGGUUCAGCAGGAGGGUGGGCAGUCAUGGCGUCGCCUGCCGUCGUAAACGUGUCUCCGCCAUGCAUGUACGACCACCACCACCACCACCACAACAACAGCCCUCCGCUGCCUGCAUCCCUCGGCAGCAACCUUCCACAAAGCCAUCUCAAGUCUACUCUUACACCCAUCAUAUCAUCGUGUCAUUAUCGAGUCCACUGCUUCUUGUGAGUCCACAAUUAACAUUCAUGUCUCUCCACUGUUGCUGUUAACUCGGUGUCAUCAUGAAUUGUGCUUUCUCGUUUGAGAUAGCAGAUUGGGGCGUGGCGUCGAGGAUAUCCUGAUGCCCACAAGCUCAACAUGUCUUUGGGAUCCACCAUUCCAUGUGCAAUGGUAAGCAGGAACAGUGCGUACACACUCAUCUGCUCUUGAAAGGUAAGUCUCUGGUUGGCUUUCUUUUGCAGCAGGCCUGCUCCUCUGCUGCUGCUGCACGCUCGAGUCAGCAUCGUGUGUCAUGAGGAAUCCCAAGGAGAGGAGAAAGAGAAAAUUCAGGGAGAGCGUGUUCUUGGCUUGAUGUGAGUUACUAACCCUUCCACAUUCUGAAUCGU